rnacentral:rRNA from 1 species
AGUGAACGCUGGCGGCAGGCCUAACACAUGCAAGUCGAACGGUAACAGGUCUUCGGAUGCUGACGAGUGGCGAACGGGUGAGUAAUACAUCGGAACGUGCCCGAUCGUGGGGGAUAACGAAGCGAAAGCUUUGCUAAUACCGCAUAAGAUCUAAGGAUGAAAGCAGGGGACCGCAAGGCCUUGCGCGAACGGAGCGGCCGAUGGCAGAUUAGGUAGUUGGUGGGAUAAAAGCUUACCAAGCCGACGAUCUGUAGCUGGUCUGAGAGGACGACCAGCCACACUGGGACUGAGACACGGCCCAGACUCCUACGGGAGGCAGCAGUGGGGAAUUUUGGACAAUGGGCGCAAGCCUGAUCCAGCCAUGCCGCGUGCAGGAUGAAGGCCUUCGGGUUGUAAACUGCUUUUGUACGGAACGAAAAGAUUCUGGUUAAUACCUGGGGUCCAUGACGGUACCGUAAGAAUAAGCACCGGCUAACUACGUGCCAGCCGCCGCAGUAAAAC